CGCUGGCGGUAUGCUUUACACAUGCAAGUCGUACGAGAGUUUUUAACUCAAGUGGCGGACGGGUGAGUAACACGUAAGAAUUUACCUUUAGGAGGGGGAUAACAACUGGAAACGGUUGCUAAUACCCCAUAUGCUUUUCGAAGUGAAAUGGAUUUUUCCGCCUAGAGAGAAGCUUGCGGCUGAUUAGCUUGUUGGUUGAGGUAAUGGCUCACCAAGGCGACGAUCAGUAUCUGGUUUGAGAGGACGAUCAGACACACUGGAACUGAGACACGGUCCAGACUCCUACGGGAGGCAGCAGUGGGGAAUUUUCCGCAAUGGGCGAAAGCCUGACGGAGCAAUACCGCGUGAGGGAUGACGGCCUAUGGGUUGUAAACCUCUUUUUUCAGGGAGGAUUGAAUGACGUGUACCUGAAGAAUAAGCAUCGGCUAACUCCGUGCCAGCAGCCGCGGUAAGACGGAGGAUGCAAGUGUUAUCCGGAAUCACUGGGCGUAAAGCGUCUGUAGGUGGUUUAAUAAGUCAACUGUUAAAUCUUGAGGCUUAACCUCAAAAUCGCAGUCGAAACUAUUAGACUAGAGUAUAGUA
rnacentral:rRNA from 1 species